AAUGCGUUUUGAGAUGGUCCUGCGUCCUAUCAGCUUGUUGGUAGGGUAACGGCCUACCAAAGCUAUAACGGGUAUCCGGCCUGAAAGGGUGAACGGACACACUGGAACUGAGACACGGUCCAGACUCCUACGGGAGGCAGCAGUGGGGAAUUUUGGACAAUGGGGGAAACUCUGAUCCAGCGACGCCGCGUGGAGGAUGAAGGCUUUCGGGUUGUAAACUCCUUUUAGAGGGGAAGAAAUAAAUGACGGUACCCUCAGAAAAAGUCACGGCUAACUACGUGCCAGCAGCCGCGGUAAUACGUAGGUGGCGAGCGUUACUCGGAAUUACUAGGCGUAAAGCGUAUGUAGGCGGUCGUAUAAGUCUUUAGUAAAAUUUUCUGGCUCAACCGGAAAAAGCCUAAGGAUACUGUUCGGCUUGAGUGUGGGAGAGGGAGACGGAAUUCCUGGUGUAGCGGUGAAAUGCGUAGAUAUCAGGAGGAACACCGAUGGCGAAAGCAGUCUUCUGGACCAAUACUGACGCUGAUGUACGAAAGCUAGGGUAGCAAACAGGAUUAGAUACCCUGGUAGUCCUAGCUGUAAACGAUGUUCACUAGAUGUGGGGGGUAUCGACCCCUUCCGCGUCGACGCUAACGCAUUAAGUGAACCGCCUGGGGAGUACGGCCGCAAGGUUGAAACUCAAAGGAAUUGACGGGGGCCCGCACAAGCGGUGGAGUAUGUGGUUUAAUUCGACGCAACGCGAAAAACCUUACCUGGGCUUGAACUGCUGAUGGUAAAAACCGGAAACGGCAAUGACCCGCAAGGGAGUCAGUAGAGGUGCUGCAUGGCUGUCGUCAGCUCGUGUCGUGAGAUGUUGGGUUAAGUCCCGCAACGAGCGCAACCCUUAUCCCAUGUUACCUGUAGUAAUACAGGGUCUCUGAGGAAACUGCCAUUGAUAAAAUGGAGGAAGGUGGGGACGACGUCAAGUCAUCAUGGCCUUUAUGUCCAGGGCUACACACGUACUACAAUGGCCGGUACAGAGGGUAGCGAUAUCGUAAGGUGGAGCAAAUCCCUGAAAGCCGGCCCCAGUUCAGAUUGUGGGCUGAAAUUCGCCCACAUGAAGUAGGAAUC
rnacentral:rRNA from 1 species